rnacentral:rRNA from 1 species
UACGUAGGCAGCAAGCGUUGUUCGGAGUUACUGGGCGUAAAGGGUGCGUAGGUGGCUCUAUAAGUAUGGUGUGAAAUCUCCCGGCUUAACUGGGAGGGUGCGGCGGAGACUGCCAGACUAGAGGCACUCAGAGGCCGGUGGAAUUCCCGGUGUAGUGGUGAAAUGCGUAGAGAUCGGGAGGAACACCAGUGGCGAAGGCGGCCGGCUGGGGGUGACCUGACGCUGAGGCGCGAAAGCGUGGGGAGCGAACCGG